UCUCUCAAGGGCAAAUGUUUGUCGUAAAGGAAGAGCAACCUCUUCUUGUGUCACUUGCAAGUUGAGCAACAUUCCGCCAUUAACCUCGUCCAUUCUCCACUGUGUUAUUCUUUUCCGAAGGUAUCGGUAGCGGCUCCUGCUGACGACGGGACAAAGAACCACCACUCAACGCGCAAUAACGGAGCAGAAGAGCGUUUGUCCAUGCCUGGCGAGCAGCGAUCUCCAUCAGACUGAGCCAGAAAAUUUCCCCUCAGGAGUGCAACACUUUGGACUUCGAUUCGUCAAGUGGACAGCGUCUUGGCUGCCGAAUGAAACGGCAUGCCUCGUGCCACGGGAAGCACGCGUCUGCCGUAUCAACUCCGGGCAUGACAUGACGGCGUGGAGCCGGAUAUCGAGAAAGCUGGAACGGAAUUUGGUGCCGCGUGCGAGGAAUGCUCCGUGGGAACACAGAUUCGCUACCGCCGGCUCCGUCACAUGGAAGCGUGUGUCCAGCCUGCCAAGACGACCCUUUCGGCCCUUUUCUCAAACUCGACGCGGAAAGCUGCUUGCAGUUGCAGUGCUCGGCAGAGAACUGGCUGAUGCAGAAAAGACUUUUGGGGGGGGGGGCUUAUGGCCUGCUUGGCUUUUCCGGAGACGACAUCCUACCUUGAGUUUACGUUGCUCCCCUUUUGUUCCACUUUUGCUCGCCUUUUGAUGAAUUAUUCAUGAAGCCGGCGGCAUCGAACGGAAACCACUCAGCGCGUACUUAGCGAAUGAAAGGCACGUUUUUGUAAUUUGAUAGAUUGGUAUUAGCAUUUCAGUUUGUUGAAAGUCGGCUGUAAUGGCAAUUUGACACAAAACGGCGCGAAGUGGAAGGAACUGUUUGUACGAUUGAUUGCUGACCAGUUAUUUUUUCGGGAUUAGCAAAGUUGCCUGCACACGCACAAGUCUGUACUCUGUGUAGCUGCUCAAAAUGCUGACCUGCACCAACUCCCAACAAGAUAAAAUGAGAGCGCAAGACGCGGCGGGGGUGAAGGCUCCCUUGACAGACUAUGUGGCACCCCAGGUGGGACCUCGAGCGGUUGCUUGAGGGGGAUGACGGUCGAGAAUUGGACUGCGCAACCUUCUUCACCAAAAAAGACGAAGAACUCUGUCCUCGCAAAUUCGAGAUGGGGGGAUUCCCGGCCGGCUCCCUGAAAGUUUCCCCCCCGAGGUCUCGAUGAACUCAAACCGUCCUUUGACAUGUACGGAGCCAAGAAGCGGGAGACAAUGCACUCCAUUUUCGCACACGGCGACUGCGCCGCCAUUUUCAAGCUCUUGCCAGCGUCGGGGCGGCUGAGCAAAUGGGCCUGUGAAGUGUGAAAAUGUGGAGUGCAAAUGAUUUGUGAGCAGAGCGCGGCGCGCCGCCAGGACGC